CAAGCCGAGUAGGCCGCCGCAGUUGGCCAGGAAGUCUGUUUGACCGUAAAGUUCUGAGCGUCGAGAGAAGAAUCUUCAGAUUUUGAAACUUUUCGGAAAAUUACCUAACUCUACACGAGGUUAACCAAAUUAACUCCGAGUGCAGUACCCGGAACAUCGAAGUCAGAACUAUUUUGAGGAGUAGGUACAAUCAACUUUCGAUCUAAAGAUCAAAAAGAAACGAACGAUUGCAUCUUGGAUAAUAUAAUUUUUAUUACGGCGGACGGUGGCCACACAAAUCAAUGAACUAUAUGCUGUCUGUAAUUCCAACGAAGCUAUGUUAAAAUGAAUUACUGAAAAAUAUACACAAAAUAUACCGACAAGGUUAAUCAUAUUUAGCAAACAAUCAAGAACAAGACGUACGAAAACACUGUACAUCCGAAAUAAGAUAUGAAACUUCUGAAACAAACGCUAACUUACCUUGUGUCCUAUAUUGUCACCCAUAAUGUAUUUCCAUAUUAUUGAAUAGUUUAACAAG